GACGAACGCUGGCGGCGUGCUUAACACAUGCAAGUCGAACGGUGAAGCCCUUCGGGGUGGAUCAGUGGCGAACGGGUGAGUAACACGUGAGCAACCUGCCCCUGGCUCUGGGACAACCACUGGAAACGGUGGCUAAUACCGGAUACGACCCGCCUCGGCAUCGAGUGUGGUGGAAAGUUUUUCGGCUGGGGAUGGGCUCGCGGCCUAUCAGCUUGUUGGUGAGGUGAAGGCUCACCAAGGCGACGACGGGUAGCCGGCCUGAGAGGGCGACCGGCCACACUGGGACUGAGACACGGCCCAGACUCCUACGGGAGGCAGCAGUGGGGAAUAUUGCACAAUGGGCGAAAGCCUGAUGCAGCGACGCCGCGUGAGGGAUGACGGCCUUCGGGUUGUAAACCUCUUUCAGCUCCGAAGAAGCGAAAGUGACGGUAGGAGCAGAAGAAGCACCGGCUAACUACGUG
rnacentral:rRNA from 1 species